rnacentral:lncRNA from 1 species
UUAAUUAAUUUUAUUUAUUUAUUUAUUUUUAACUUUUUUUUUUUAUAUAUAUUUUGUUUUUCGUUUUUUUUUUCGUUUUUUUUUUUGUUUUUUUUGUUUUUUUUGUUUUUAGGAAAAAUGAAGGGUAAAUUUUGGGGUAUUACAGGGUGGUACACCACUAUCAACAUGAGCAUAACUUGUGACACUUUUCAUAACAUUCUAUAUGGUAUUAUC